rnacentral:lncRNA from 1 species
CGCCACAUAUAAUUCCAGUAUCUUUCUUUUUUUCUUUUUUUACUAGUUUUUAUACUAUGAGGAAGUAGCAAGUCCCGCUUUUCACCAAUUUAGAAAAUUUGGAAAAAAAAGAGGAGAAGAAGAUAUUGGAACUCAUGUGGUCGAGACUUACGUAAGUCUCGCCAAAUGUGAUUCAAGUAUCUUUCUUCUCUUCUUUUUUUUAGUAUUUAUAAUAUUUUCGUCGUAAUAUCGUCGUUAGUUUACGAUUCGUUUACGACGAUUUUGGCUUACGUGGAAUUAGCGUGCCCCGCUUUCUAUAUUUUUUUAAUUUCGUCGUAAACUCCUUGUGGCCUUACGACAACCUUACGACGAUUUUGGCUUACGUGUAAUUAGCGUGCCCCGCUUUAUUUAUUUAUUUUUUAAAUUUCGUCGUAAACUCCUCGUGACCUUACGACAACCUUACGACGAUUUUGGCUUACGUGGAAUUAGCGUGCCCCGCGUUAUUUAUUUUACUUUUCGUCGUAAGUUCCACGCUAUGUUACGAGGAAUUAACGAGUACUAUGUUUAAAUCCCUAAAAUCUGAAACCCCAAACCCCAUCUUCCUUAUCUUCUACUUCAUAUAUUCCAAACCCCAAACCCAUCUACCCUUGAACCUCAAUCUAUUCUUUCACCUCAAACCUUAUUUAUAAUAUAUUCCAAACCCCAAACCACAAGUCCUUAUUCAUAAUAAAAAUAAACUCCCACAUUAUCUUAUUCAUAAAACAAACUACAUAAAAUCAAAUACAUCAAUCGGAUACAUCGACAUUCUCGUCAUCACUAGAAAUAUCAUCAUUUUCAUUAAACUCGUCUUCUACAGCUUCGUCUGUGGCAUCAUCGGUAAGAUCUUCGUAUUCGUGAUUAUGCGGAUCAAUGAGAAGGAUGUCAUCAAUUUCUUGUUCA